UACGUAGGGGGCUAGCGUUGUCCGGAAUCAUUGGGCGUAAAGCGCGCGUAGGCGGCCCGGUAAGUCCGCUCUGAAAGUCCAGGGCUCAACCCUGGAAAGCGGGUGGAUACUGCCGGGCUAGAAUCCGGAAGAGGCGAGUGGAAUUCCUGGUGUAGCGGUGAAAUGCGCAGAUAUCAGGAAGAACACCUAUGGCGAAGGCAGCACUCUGGGACGGUACUGACGCUGAGACGCGAAAGCGUGGGGAGCGAACAGG
rnacentral:rRNA from 1 species